CCAGCUUAAAAAAAUUUUUUUUUUUUUAAUUCUCCACUGGGGCUGUACCUAAGAUGUGGGUUUCCUGAGACUGGAGAAAUUAGAUCUUAAAACCGCCCCAAGAGAGGCUGGGGAGGGGGCGGGGAAGACCAGAGAAAGGGAUUUAGUGGCAGAGGCCCUGUGACCUCACCUCAUCCAGCGGAUUUCCUCUCCUCUUAGCUUAGAGGGACCCUGCUAUAUUCUUCCUGAAUUCGGUUUGGAAGAGAGAAAUGUGUUUUCUUGAGUGAGGAAUGUCCUGUGGGUGGAAUGCAGGCUGCUUUGUUCUCAGCUUGGGCUCCAGGAUGAAACAGGAUCUGGAGAUAGCUCUGUUUGAACUGAGAUGACAUUAGCGGUGCCCAGGGAGGAGGUGUCCGAGCAUCCUGGAACCUGGACAAGUGUUGUCCUCAGUUGAGGGUGGACUGGGCAAAUGAGCAAGCUGAGGAAAGCUGUUUUGGGGUUUUUAUUUUAUUUUUAAUUUUUUUUUGUCUUUUAUCCUUUUAGAGCCACACCUGCGGCACAUGGAGGUUCCCAGGCUAGGGGUCCAAUCGGAGCUGUAGCCACCGGCCUGUGCCACAGUCACAGCAAUGCCAGAUCCGAGCUACAUCUGUGACCUAUACCACAGCUCAUGGCAACGCUGGAUCCUUAACCCUCUGAGCCAGGUCAGGGAUCAAACCUGAGUCCUCAUGGAUGCUAGUCUGGUUCAUUAACCACUGAGCCAUGACGGGAACUCCCCAGCUAAUUAUAUUUUGCAUUUGUUAACAUUAAAAGUAAUUUGCAGUUGCAAACAUGCACUAAUUGAUGGUAUAGUUGUGAGAGUAGGAAGGAAAAUGUUCCAGAAGCUUUUUAAUGGAUGGGAAACCACCUUUGAAUGGCAGCUUGUCCAAACCUGGAUAAUUCAAGAUUGACGUGAAAAAGUUAGCCCUUGGAAGAGAGACUUAUAGUUGUUUUUGAUGUGGGUUUACAUGGAUUGAACGGUGUCCUCUAAAAUUUAUGAAUCAUGUAGGAUAUUCCUGAAAAACAUUGAGUCAAAGGGGGUGAAUCCUGUCCUCUGACUCUAGCAUGACCAGGUAUUUCUAGCACUGUUGCUAAAAUGACCUGGAAACAAAAGGCUAUAGAGAAAGAAUGCUUUGCCCUUAUAAAGUGGCUUUGAGUCUAAAAGAGUAGAGUAUGACUCCAGUAAAUUCAAGCAUAAUUUUUUUGGUAUGUGGCAUGUAAAGAUUUGGCACAUGUUUGGUAAACUCGCAAGUCUGUGGAAACCCAAACAGAGAGUGACGUGUACACAGGGUAACGUGUAUGGUCGGACCUCCCGCUGUGGCACAGUGGGUUGAGAAUCUGACUGCAGUGGCUUGGGUCACGGAGGAGGCCGGAGUUCCAUCCCUGGCCUGGUGCAGUGGGUUAAAGAAUCCAGCGUGAGUUGCAGCUGUGGCUUGGAUUCAGUUCUUGGCCCAGGAACUUCCAUAUGUCGUGGGUGCAGCCAUUAAAAAAAAAAAAAAAAAAAAAA
rnacentral:lncRNA from 1 species